rnacentral:rRNA from 1 species
ACGUAGGUCCCGAGCGUUGUCCGGAUUUAUUGGGCGUAAAGCGAGCGCAGGUGGUUUAAUAAGUCUGAUGUAAAAGGCAGUGGCUCAACCAUUGUGUGCAUUGGAAACUGUUAGACUUGAGUGCAGUAGAGGAGAGUGGAAUUCCAUGUGUAGCGGUGAAAUGCGUAGAUAUAUGGAGGAACACCGGUGGCGAAAGCGGCUCUCUGGACUGUCACUGACACUGAGGCUCGAAAGCGUGGGUAGCAAACAGGAUUAGAUACCCUGGUAGUCCACGCCGUAAACGAUGAGUGCUAGUUGUUUGGGGCUAUCCAGCCCUAAGUGACGCAGCAAACGCAUUAAGCACUCCGCCUGGGGAGUACGACCGCAAGGUUG